rnacentral:rRNA from 1 species
CCCUUAGAUGUUCUGGGCCGCACGCGCGCUACACUGACGAUGGCAACGAGUUUUUCCUUCGCCGAAAGGUGUGGGUAAUCUUUUGAAACAUCGUCGUGCUGGGGAUAGAUCAUUGCAAUUUUUGAUCUUGAACGAGGAAUUCCUAGUAAGCGCGAGUCAUCAGCUCGUGUUGAUUACGUCCCUGCCCUUUGUACACACCGCCCGUCGCUACUACCGAUUGAAUGGUUUAGUGAGGACUCCUGAUUGGCGCCGCCGCCCCGGCAACGGAGCAGCGGACUGCCGAAAAGUUGUUCAAACUUGAUCAUUUAGAGGAAGUAAAAGUCGUAACA